rnacentral:rRNA from 1 species
AUGAUGACUCUCUGUGGUCAUGGAGCCGUAGAUGUUGAGCUGUAUGAACUCCACCAGAGCGACGACGAGGUGAUCCUGCGCAACAAGCACCUCGGCCUCCCGAGCUCCGGUUCCUCCUCCGCGUCAUCGUGCGCUCCGGCAUCGAGAGCACAGCUACGGCCUGCGCAGCAUCCUCGAGUGCCGCGAGGACUCGCUCACCCACCGGGACGCGCUCGACGAGAUGGACGCCUUCUUCGACGAGGCCAUCGUGGAGCUAUUCGUCAGAACCGGCGUGGCGCCCGCGGACGUCGACAUGCUCGUCGUCAACGUCUCCCUCAUCUCCCCGGCGCCGUCGCUUGCCUGCAGGGUCGUGCCCCGCUUCGGCAUGCGGGAGGACGUCGCCGCGUACAGCCUCUCCAGCAUGGGGUGUGGCGCCGGCCUGGUCGCGCUCGACCUCGCGCGGAAUGCGAUGCGGCCAUGCGGGCACGGUCGGUGUCCAUGCUGGCCCUCGUGGUCUCGUCCGAGUCCAUCGCUCCCAGCUGGUACACCGGCACCGACCGGUCCAUGAUGCUGGGCAACUGCCUCUUACGCUCCGGAGGGACGAGCCGUCGCCGGGAGCACCGUCAGCAUCUCCAGCAGGCGGCUGCGCAUGGCGCGGAAGUCGUCGGCGGCGCUCUCCAGUCUCCAUCGAGAGGAGCCUGCAGACUGGGUUAG